rnacentral:sRNA from 1 species
AGACUGUUUUAUGAUACUUUUCAUAGACGCUAUUGAGAAAAAUAAAUUUGAUGCAUCACUUUACUACUGGACAAAACAGGAUAAUCUGAUUGGGACGGCAUUACUUGCGCAGUAUGUUUUGAAAAGAAAAAAGAAAAAAAGCUGUGUUUCAAACUGAGAAAGAUAAAUAUGAAAAAUAUUUGAAGAUUUACGAGGAUAUUGCUGUUACAGUAUUGAGAUCCUGCUAUGGCUG